ensembl:lncRNA
CGGUGCGUCCGAUAGCGUCCCAGUGUUACUGAAGCUUGAUAAGCACGACUGGUGACUGUGUUGAGGUUCAUGAAUCCUCGUACCUCUUCACCUCUGGCCCCAGUGCCCUCCGAGCCCCCUCUAGAAGGAGGGGUCCUGGUGUGUCUGAUGAGGCACUGACUCACUGGGACAAAGGACUGAGUUUCUGUAAUACAGGACGGACGUUAACUGUGAUAAAACAAAGACCGUAGCCUGAUGAAGACUAGCUGGGAUGAAGGACAGACUGUAGCUGUGAUGAAGACUGUAGCUGUGAUGAAGACUGUAGCUGUGAUGAAGGACAGACUCUAGCUGUGAUGAAGACUGUAGCUGUGAUGAAGACUGUAGCUGUGAAGAAGGACAGACUGUAGCUACUACUACUGCUACAUAUUAACAUAACAGAGCAACUUGUGAUACCACAGUACUACAGUAAUAACAUAACACAGUAAUACAGUACCGACUAACAUGUGGCUGCAGUAGCUCGGUAGGGCCCAACCACUGGAAUUGUAAAGCAGAAGCAAUCCAUUUACCUUUGACAUGUCUGUUAGUAGCGGUACUAUCUGCUGACGCACGUUAGCCCCGCGAGGACGGUGGCUACCCUCAUAAUACCCCUUCUGCCGAGUCAUAAACCAGACCAGAGCAGUGUGUGUGUGGACUGGUGCCACGCCCUGAUGCUCCACUUCUGGUAAGGCCACACACACAUCAUCACAGCACAGAGAGGAGAGAGAGGAGAGGAGAGGAGAGGAGAACAGAGAGAAGAAUAGAGAGGGGAGGGGAGAGAAGAGAGGAGAGGAAGAGAGUUGAGAGGAGAGGAGAGGAGAAGAGAGAGAAGAAUAGAGAGGGGAGGAGAGAGAAGAGAGGAGAGGAGGAGAGUUGAGAGGCGAGAAGAGAGGAGGAGAAGAGGGAAAAGGAGAGAGGAGAGGAGAAUAGAGAGGAAAGGAAAGGAGAGAGGAGAGAGGAGAGGAGAGGAGAGAGGGGAGAGGGUAAAGGAGAGGAGAGAGGAGAAUAGAGAGGAAAGGAAAGAGGAGAGAGGAGGAGAGAGGGGAGGAGAGAGGAGAAUAUAGAGGAGAGGAGUGAGGAGAGGAGAGAGGAGAGAUGAGAGAGGAGGAGAAGAGAGAAGAGGAGAGAGGGGAGAAGAUGAUAGGGCAAGAGGAGAGAGGAGAUAGGAUAAGAUAGAAGAGGAGAGAGUGGAGAGG